CAAUAACAUAAUUUGCGAUGCCUCCUAAAACUAAAUUAUUCGUUGGAGAACUUCCUAAUGAAUGCUCUGAAAUCGCUCUACGUAAGCUUUUUGAACGACAUGGGGAAGUUACUGAAUGCGUUGUUCUUGGGAAAUUUGGAUUUGUUCACAUGAAGUCGGAAGAUCAAGCACAAGAGGCCAUCAAAUCGCUCAAUCACUAUCGAUUCCAAGGUUCCACCAUAAUUGUUGAACAAUCUACUGGAAAACCGCGAGAUGGAUGGUGGACAAAAUAUCCUGGUCCCCCAGGAACAACGCUUCUCGAGCGUAUGGGGAUUAAAGGACCAAAUGAUUAAAGGAUUGGCGAGCGUCUUGGGAAUAGUGUAUGGAGCCAGCGGGCGUUCGUACCUGCUAACCAAGUGCACAAGAUGAUUUAUGCUGCUAUCAUCACAAUAUACAAGCAUAAGACUACUUAUGUAACAUUCUGUUUUGAAAGUUUUGAAUAUUUAAAUGGAUAGAAAGUUGACUUGCUAUUAAUUUGUAGACACUGCGGAAAUGAUUCCUGGCAAUGAGCAAUUGAACACACAUGUUACAUGCCAUAUAUGAUAGUCGACCUUAAACUAUGUUAAUUAUAUGGACAUUGUUUUUCUUGCAAUGCAUAUACAAAUAAAACUUAUAACCGUUAUUUUAAAAACU
rnacentral:lncRNA from 1 species